AGGGCCAUGGUCUAGCGGCUAUGACGUCGCUCUCACACAGCGGAGGUCACGGGUUCGAAUCCCGUUGGCCCUA
rnacentral:tRNA from 1 species